rnacentral:rRNA from 1 species
AUGAACGCUAGCUACAGGCUUAACACAUGCAAGUCGAGGGGCAGCAUGGUCUUAGCUUGCUAAGGCCGAUGGCGACCGGCGCACGGGUGAGUAACACGUAUCCAACCUGCCGUCUACUCUUGGACAGCCUUCUGAAAGGAAGAUUAAUACAAGAUGGCAUCAUGAGUCCGCAUGUUCACAUGAUUAAAGGUAUUCCGGUAGACGAUGGGGAUGCGUUCCAUUAGAUAGUAGGCGGGGUAACGGCCCACCUAGUCUUCGAUGGAUAGGGGUUCUGAGAGGAAGGUCCCCCACAUUGGAACUGAGACACGGUCCAAACUCCUACGGGAGGCAGCAGUGAGGAAUAUUGGUCAAUGGGCGAGAGCCUGAACCAGCCAAGUAGCGUGAAGGAUGACUGCCCUAUGGGUUGUAAACUUCUUUUAUAAAGGAAUAAAGUCGGGUAUGGAUACCCGUUUGCAUGUACUUUAUGAAUAAGGAUCGGCUAACUCCGUGCCAGCAGCCGCGGUAAUACGGAGGAUCCGAGCGUUAUCCGGAUUUAUUGGGUUUAAAGGGAGCGUAGAUGGUUGUUUAAGUCAGUUGUGAAAGUUUGCGGCUCAACCGUAAAAUUGCAGUUGAUACUGGAUAUCUUGAGUGCAGUUGAGGCAGGCGGAAUUCGUGGUGUAGCGGUGAAAUGCUUAGAUAUCACGAAGAACUCCGAUUGCGAAGGCAGCCUGCUAAGCUGCAACUGACAUUGAGGCUCGAAAGUGUGGGUAUCAAACAGGAUUAGAUACCCUGGUAGUCCACACGGUAAACGAUGAAUACUCGCUGUUUGCGAUAUACAGCAAGCGGCCAAGCGAAAGCGUUAAGUAUUCCACCUGGGGAGUACGCCGGCAACGGUGAAACUCAAAGGAAUUGACGGGGGCCCGCACAAGCGGAGGAACAUGUGGUUUAAUUCGAUGAUACGCGAGGAACCUUACCCGGGCUUAAAUUGCAGAUGAAUUACGGUGAAAGCCGUAAGCCGCAAGGCAUCUGUGAAGGUGCUGCAUGGUUGUCGUCAGCUCGUGCCGUGAGGUGUCGGCUUAAGUGCCAUAACGAGCGCAACCCUUGUUGUCAGUUACUAACAGGUUCCGCUGAGGACUCUGACAAGACUGCCAUCGUAAGAUGUGAGGAAGGUGGGGAUGACGUCAAAUCAGCACGGCCCUUACGUCCGGGGCUACACACGUGUUACAAUGGGGGGUACAGAGGGCCGCUACCACGCGAGUGGAUGCCAAUCCCAAAAACCUCUCUCAGUUCGGACUGGAGUCUGCAACCCGACUCCACGAAGCUGGAUUCGCUAGUAAUCGCGCAUCAGCCACGGCGCGGUGAAUACGUUCCCGGGCCUUGUACACACCGCCCGUCAAGCCAUGGGAGCCGGGGGUACCUGAAGUGCGUAACCGCGAGGAGCGCCCUAGGGUAAAACUGGUGACUGGGGCU